rnacentral:rRNA from 1 species
AAGCCACGGCUAACUACGUGCCAGCAGCCGCGGUAAUACGUAGGUGGCAAGCGUUGUCCGGAAUUACUGGGUGUAAAGGGAGCGCAGGCGGGUGAUCAAGUCAGCUGUGAAAACUACGGGCUUAACCCGUAGACUGCAGUUGAAACUGUUCAUCUUGAGUGAAGUAGAGGUUGGCGGAAUUCCGAGUGUAGCGGUGAAAUGCGUAGAUAUUCGGAGGAACACCGGUGGCGAAGGCGGCCAACUGGGCUUUAACUGACGCUGAGGCUCGAAAGUGUGGGGAGCAAACAGGAUUAGAUACCCUGGUAGUCCACACUGUAAACGAUGAUUGCUAGGUGUGGGGGGUCUGACCCCUUCCGUGCCGGAGCUAACGCAAUAAGCAAUCCACCUGGGGAGUACGACCGCAAGGUUGAAACUCAAAGGAAUUGACGGGGACCCGCACAAGCAGUGGAUUAUGUGGUUUAAUUCGAAGCAACGCGAAGAACCUUACCAGCACUUGACAUCCAACUAACGAAGUAGAGAUACAUUAGGUGCCCUUCGGGGAAAGUUGAGACAGGUGGUGCAUGGUUGUCGUCAGCUCGUGUCGUGAGAUGUUGGGUUAAGUCCCGCAACGAGCGCAACCCUCGCCAUUAGUUGCUACGCAAGAGCACUCUAAUGGGACCGCUACCGACAAGGUGGAGGAAGGUGGGGACGACGUCAAAUCAUCAUGCCCCUUAUGUGCUGGGCUACACACGUAAUACAAUGGCCAUCAACAGAGAGAAGCAAUACCGCGAGGUGGAGCAAAACUUCAAAAAUGGUCUCAGUUCGGACUGCAGGCUGCAACCCGCCUGCACGAAGUUGGAAUUGCUAGUAAUCGUGGAUCAGCAUGCCACGGUGAAUACGUUCCCGGGUCUUGUACACACCGCCCGUCACACCAUGGGAGCCGGUAACACCCGAAGUCAGUAGUCUAACCGCAAGGAGGACGCUGCCGAAGGUGGGAUUGGCGACUGGGGUGAAGUCGUAACAAGGUAGCCGUAUCGGAAGGUGCGGCUG